rnacentral:rRNA from 1 species
UACGUAGGGUGCGAGCGUUGUCCGGAAUUACUGGGCGUAAAGAGCUCGUAGGUGGUUUGUCGCGUUGUUCGUGAAACCGGAGGCUCAAACCUCUGGCGUGCGGGCGAUACGGGCAGACUUGAGUACUGCAGGGGAGACUGGAAUUCUGGUGUAGCGGUGGAAUGCGCAGAUAUCAGGAGGAACACCGGUGGCGAAGGCGGGUCUCUGGGCAGUAACUGACGCUGGAGGAGCGGAAAGCGUGGGGAGCGAACAGG